AAUGGGCAAACCUGUCGAAAGGCAGGGGCGCAAAGCCAAGGUGUCUGCAGCGUCAUCGGACGUAUGAUUGACCGGCCG
rnacentral:ncRNA from 1 species